rnacentral:rRNA from 1 species
UACGUAGGGGGCGAGCGUUGUCCGGAAUUAUUGGGCGUAAAGAGCGUGUAGGCGGUUCGGUAAGUCUGCUGUGAAAUCCUGGGGCUCAACCCCGGGCGUGCAGCGGAUACUGCCGGGCUAGAGGGUGGUAGAGGCGAGUGGAAUUCCCGGUGUAGCGGUGAAAUGCGCAGAUAUCGGGAGGAACACCAAUGGCGAAGGCAGCUCGCUGGGACGUUACUGACGCUGAGACGCGAAAGCGUGGGGAGCAAACAGG